CUGCACUCCAGCCUGGGCGACAGAGUGAGACUCUGUGUCACAAAACAAAAAAAGAAAAGUCAUUGCAAGACAGAAGAAGAACUGGCAGGACAGAGACAGGUGACCCGUGACCCAGCCUUACUCCUGUCCUCGGCCUCCUGCUCCCAGGAAGCAGCAGGCUUCUCCAGCCGGGACCCUGCUUGCCCGGUUCGCGGCCACACGUCCACGGUGAUCCACGCACUGGCCUGUGCGCCUCUGUGCUGUCCCAGUCCCACCAGACUGUGGGCUCUCUGGGGACGCAGGCUUGCUCAUGCCCCUGGUGGGCACUCGGGGUUGUUGGUGGGGUGGGUAAAUGGACGACAGAGGCGUGCAUGGGCCUCUUUUGCACAACUUGCCUGAUCCUCCACAGGUGUCUCUCGGGGGGCCCCACCCCAUUCCUCGUGGGCUCUGAGCUCCUCUGGGGGGACUGCUUCUCCUCUCUCCUGAGUUCCAGCUCUGCCUCCAGGUCUGGCCCAGAGAUGAUACGCACAGCGCUGGCAGAGGCAUUUUCCUUGUGUUCUGUUGCCUUCAAUCCGUGCCAGGGUUGCAGGAGGCGGGGAGAGGGCAGGAGGUGAGGGUGGAGAAGGGACUCUGCUAUGGAUGUUAGAGGAGUACGGAGUCUUAGCCAGAGACCUCUUCUUUAUUGCACGGAAUGGGAGAAAAUGCAGUGCAACAGGGAAGUCAAAAGUGCUGGCAUGGCUAAAGUGUGGCCAUAAGAAUGUGCCCAGGCACCUCCCCCGAGGAGGGGACCACAGAGGCUGGAGACAUAAAGUUCCUCUUGCUGUGGGCCACGGCCCGGGGAGCUGAGAGUGGCCCAAAGCAACAGGCCUGAGGACAUGCAGAACGGAGGCUGCACCCACUGAGACUUGCAGCCCGUUGUGCCUUAGGAAGGUGGGGAGUGAAGGGAGGUGAGCACUAUAGAGCCAGACCCAGGGCCCUGUAGCACGUGGAGAGCAGGGCUGUUUAAAAUCUUAACUUCGGUUUUGUGUGCCCCAGGCAUGUCUCCUCCCAGGACACCCUCCCUGGCCUGCCUCCCUGCUGUGCCAGGCUCCAGCCCCUCUCCCCCUCCCCUUCUGCAAGCCCCUUGUCUGGGGCACACCCUCCUUCCCUCUUUCCCCUCUCUCUCUCCUCUGUCCCCCAGCUCCUCCACAGGCACCCCCUCCCCACCCCCUCGCAGGGUCUUCUUGGUCUGCAUUUCAUGAUUUAUUUUUAGCACCUGUGCCAUCCUGAGGAUGUGAACAAUAUUCCUGAGUCAUGGCUUUGCAAGGAAGCAGGGGCAGACAGCUCCCUCUCCACCUCUGAAGAUGGCUUAUCAACCUCUCCAGGCCUGCAAAGGGCAGAGCUUUAUCUGCCAGUUCCUCUUCUGGGUGGACUUUUUCCCUUCUUCCCCACCCCUAGCUCAGCCUCCAGCUGCUACAACCCGGGGGGCGUCAGUCAGAGAAGCCAGCUGCUCCUGCGGGUCCCAGGGAAGCAAGCAGAGCUAAAUUCCCUUGUAUCCAGGCCACAUUCUCAGCAGAGAGGGUUUCAGGAAGAAGGGACCAUGAGGCACCUCUGGUGUUCCUGCGACUGAGGACAGAGAGGAAGCCUGCUCAGAAAAGGAGCAAGCAGAAGAUGCAGGCACACAACGCUCAGCUCUCGGCAAGCUGCGGGCCCUGCUUCCACACACGGAGCCCCCGUGCACUUCUAUGGAGACAGCCCCACAAAGCCCAGGAUUUGGGAGCAGAGAGACCUCGGGAAGGAAUUAUGUUUUUUGGAAGCUGUUUUGUCAUAACGACAAAAGUCUUAGCAGUUUGGAUUUCAGCCUUGGAGUUUUUCUUUUCAUCGUGUAUAAUUUCAACUUGUGCUGAGGGCUUUGGGCCUGGAGCCUGGUGAGUACAGCUCAAUGGCGCCCCCUGAAGGCCAACGGGGGAUGUACAGUGAAAGAGGCUACGGCGAGACCCUCAGGCCCUCCCUACCUGACCAGCCAAGACAGGUCAGCACCUAGGCCCCAACGCAGGGUCAGAGCACAGCAAAUCCAAGGAGCUGCGUUGCUGACCCAGCUCGGACACCAACAAGCAGUUCAUGCGUGUGCCCACAUAGCUGAGAAGAGAUUGGACUUUGUCACAAAACAGGCCACAGGCACAGACAAGUUACUUAACCUCUCUGACUCAGUUUCCCUUUCUACAUAAUACAGGGUACAAAGUAAUUUUUUUUAUUGCUUAGUAUGUGGCAGGCUGUGUUUAAGUGCCUCGCAUGUGUUCACCCAUUUCAUCCUUACAGCACCCCUCUGGUUUGUGUGCUAUUAUUAUUGCCCACUUUGUACAAAGGAGAAAACCAAGGCCCAGGGCGAGUCAGGAACCUUCACAGCUAAUAAAUGGAAAAAUUAGGUUUGGACCUAGGUGGUGUGGCCCGGAGCCCGGAGACAGCCACACAGCACACUGCCUCCCAUAUUUACCUGGCGGGGCCACUGUGAGGACUGGGAAGAGAAGUGUCAACUGCCUCGCCCUGGGACUGGCACAGAAUAAAUGCUCAAAAAAUAGCAGCUCUAACUAGGUCCCGUGCUUGGUCGACCAUGUCCAUAAAGGUUACCACAGAUGCAGGGAAUCCAUGGACAGAGGUGACCAAUGGGACGCUUAGAAAAUCGGUAACUCUUGGGUGUCUGGCCUCUUGCACUGAGCAUCACGCCUUCCAGGUUCAUCCGUGUUGUGGCAUGUAGCGGAUUUCUUUCUUUUUUAAAAUCGAGCAGUAUUUCAUUGUAUGUAUACACCACUUUCUCUUCAGUCAUCUGUCAGCGGACAUUUAGGCUGUUUCCACACCUUAGCUAUCGUCAGCAGCGCUGCAGUGAACGUGAGAGUGCCGACAUUUCUUUAAUGUCCUGAUUUCAGCUCUUUCCUAUAGAGCCCCGGAGGUGGGACUGCAUCACACGGUGGCCCUACUGCUAAGCCUUUGAGGACCCACCACAGCGUCUUCUGCAGCGGCUAUACUGUCUACACUCCCAGCUGCACAAGAGCUCCAGUUUUCCACACCCGCGCCAACAGUUGUUAUCUUUUGGGGGUUUUUUGACAACAGCCACCCUAACCGGUUUGAGGUGAUAUCUCAUUGUAAGGAAAUAUGUUAUGAAAAGGAAACGUCAAAUUAUUGCAUAAAGAAACUAGUACAUAUAAUAGUAUCUGGACACGUGGUAUAUUAUAUAAAAAUACAUAUGAAUCUAAAAUAUCAA